CCUACGGGUGGCAGCAGUGAGGAAUAUUGGUCAAUGGGCGCGAGCCUGAACCAGCCAAGCCGCGUGAGGGAUGACGGUCCUACGGAUUGUAAACCUCUUUUGCCGGGGAGCAAGUGUGCGUUCGCGAACGCGCGUCGAGAGUACCCGGAGAAAAAGCAUCGGCUAACUCCGUGCCAGCAGCCGCGGUAUUACGGAGGAUGCGAGCGUUAUCCGGAUUUAUUGGGUGUAAAGGGUGCGUAGGCGGGAUGUAAAGUUAACGGUAAAAUUGCGGGGCUCAACGCCGUCGAGCGUUUGAAACUGGCGUUCUUGAGUGAGCGAGAGGUAUGCGGAAUGCGUGGUGUAGCGGUGAAAUGCAUAGAUAUCACGCAGAACACCGGUUGCGAAGGCAGCAUACCGGCGCCCUACUGACGCUGAGGCACGAAAGCGUGGGUAUCGAACAGGAUUAGAUACCCGGGUAGUC
rnacentral:rRNA from 1 species